AAAUCUUACCGGGUCCGGACACUCUGAGGAUUGACAGGCGUUUGUGGUUUCUCCCUUGUUGGAGUUUCCACUAUAAAUAUGCUAGUCCUUUCAUGAUUGUGUGAUAGGUGGUGCAUGGCCGUUCUUAGUUCGUGGAGUGAUCUGUCUGCUUAAUUGCGUUUCACAAAGGACUUUCUAACUUCCGUCAGUUGCACGGUGGCCUCCGUGUCGCCUGUUGCACUGCGGAGAAAAAGUCCUGAAGGCAACGAACGUGACCGCAACCUCUUGUUGCCUCCUUUUUUAUAAAACAUGAACUUCAGUAUGUACUUCGGUCAUCUGUUGUUCUGCACGGAGUUUUUGCAAACUAGAGGGACCGCUGACAACUUUUAAAACAGAGGAAGGUUGCGGCAAUAA
rnacentral:rRNA from 1 species